GAAUCCAUAGGUUAAUGAGGCGAACCGGGGGAACUGAAACAUCUAAGUACCCCGAGGAAAAGAAAUCAACCGAGAUUCCCCCAGUAGCGGCGAGCGAACGGGGAGGAGCCCAGAGCCUGAAUCAGCAUGUGUGUUAGUGGAAGCGUCUGGAAAGGUGCGCGAUACAGGGUGACAGCCCCGUACACAAAAGCGCAUGUGCUGUGAGCUCGAUGAGUAGGGCGGGACACGUGGUAUCCUGUCUGAAUAUGGGGGGACCAUCCUCCAAGGCUAAAUACUCCUGACUGACCGAUAGUGAACCAGUACCGUGAGGGAAAGGCGAAAAGAACCCCGGCGAGGGGAGUGAAAAAGAACCUGAAACCGUGUACGUACAAGCAGUGGGAGCACAGGUUUACCUGUGUGACUGCGUACCUUUUGUAUAAUGGGUCAGCGACUUAUAUUCUGUAGCAAGGUUAACCGAAUAGGGGAGCCGGAGGGAAACCGAGUCUUAAUUGGGCGUUAAGUUGCAGGGUAUAGACCCGAAACCCGGUGAUCUAGCCAUGGGCAGGUUGAAGGUUGGGUAACACUAACUGGAGGACCGAACCGACUAAUGUUGAAAAAUUAGCGGAUGACCUGUGGCUGGGGGUGAAAGGCCAAUCAAACCGGGAGAUAGCUGGUUCUCCCCGAAAGCUAUUUAGGUAGCGCCUCGUGAAUUCAUCUCCGGGGGUAGAGCACUGUUUCGGCUAGGGGGCCAUCCCGGCUUACCAACCCGAUGCAAACUGCGAAUACCGGAGAAUGUUAUCACGGGAGACACACGGCGGGUGCUAACGUCCGUCGUGAAGAGGGAAACAACCCAGACCGCCAGCUAAGGUCCCAAAGUCAUGGUUAAGUGGGAAACGAUGUGGGAAGGCCCAGACAGCCAGGAUGUUGGCUUAGAAGCAGCCAUCAUUUAAAGAAAGCGUAAUAGCUCACUGGUCGAGUCGGCCUGCGCGGAAGAUGUAACGGGGCUAAACCAU
rnacentral:rRNA from 1 species